GGAUUAGAUACCCUGGUAGUCCACGCCGUAAACGAUGUCUACUAGCCGUUGGGGGGCUUGAUCUCUUAGUGGCGCAGCUAACGCGAUAAGUAGACCGCCUGGGGAGUACGGCCGCAAGGUUAAAACUCAAAUGAAUUGACGGGGGCCCGCACAAGCGGUGGAGCAUGUGGUUUAAUUCGAAGCAACGCGAAGAACCUUACCAACUCUUGACAUCCAGAGAACUUAGCAGAGAUGCUUUGGUGCCUUCGGGAACUCUGAGACAGGUGCUGCAUGGCUGUCGUCAGCUCGUGUUG
rnacentral:rRNA from 1 species